AAACGUAUCUUUCUUCCCCAAAAGCAACCUGAUAAAAUUCCUGAAACAAACCUAAUUAAAAAACCUCUCCUUCUUCCCCAAAAGCAAACCCGUUAAAACUCCUCAAAAAAAUAUUUUGCUAGCAGACUAAAGAAUCAACGAAGAAACAACAAAUCAAACAAAAGAACGCUGACCCAAGCACAACCAUGGGUGUUCCUCUCUCAAACGCAGAACCAAGCUCGACCAUGGGUGCCAACGUUUUCAAUCUUCGACCCGGCCGCCAUAUCAGAUCAUUCUCUCUAGGUUUUGUAAGAAAAUAUUGUGGAUAUGAAUGGGUUUUGCAGUGGAGAUAGUAUUGAAGAGCCUCCCAACCCUCAAAAUCUGACAACAAUCAUAUAGGUUGGUGGAAAAUAACCAACCAAUAGUACAAAUGCCAAAGCAAUUCAAACCACAAGUGACAAUUCAAGAAGAGAUGAACAUCAACAGAAGAACCAUAAGUGAAAUAACAAAAGUUAUGUGGGACUCUGGUAAUGAGGUAUAGAAUUCAAAAGCAAUGUGCAACUCACACUAACAUUUGUACUCAAGGAAAACCAAAGGACAUAUUCAGUGUCUACUACGAAGCAACAAAAGAAGAAAAUAC